rnacentral:rRNA from 1 species
AUGCCAGACUCCUACGGGAGGCAGCAGUAGGGAAUUUUGCGCAAUGGGCGAAAGCCUGACGCAGCAACGCCGCGUGAUCGAGACGCCCUUCGGGGUGUAAAGAUCUGUCAGUGGGGACGAAACUUGACGGUACCCACAGAGGAAGCACCGGCUAACUCCGUGCCAGCAGCCGCGGUAAUACGGAGGAUGCGAGCGUUAUCCGGAUUUAUUGGGUUUAAAGGGUGCGUAGGCGGAAUGCCAAGUCAGCGGUAAAAUCGCGGGGCUCAACCUCGCUCCGCCGUUGAAACUGGCGGCCUCGAGUGGGCGAGAAGUAUGCGGAAUGCGUGGUGUAGCGGUGAAAUGCAUAGAUAUCACGCAGAACUCCGAUUGCGAAGGCAGCAUGCCGGCGCCCGACUGACGCUGAGGCACGAAAGCGUGGGUAUCGAACAGGAUUAGAUACCCCCGUA